AGAGUUUGAUCCUGGCUCAGAUUGAACGCUGGCGGCAGGCCUAACACAUGCAAGUCGAGCGGAAACGAGUUAUCUGAACCUUCGGGGAACGAUAACGGCGUCGAGCGGCGGACGGGUGAGUAAUGCCUAGGAAAUUGCCCUGAUGUGGGGGAUAACCAUUGGAAACGAUGGCUAAUACCGCAUAAUACCUACGGGUCAAAGAGGGGGACCUUCGGGCCUCUCGCGUCAGGAUAUGCCUAGGUGGGAUUAGCUAGUUGGUGAGGUAAUGGCUCACCAAGGCGACGAUCCCUAGCUGGUCUGAGAGGAUGAUCAGCCACACUGGAACUGAGACACGGUCCAGACUCCUACGGGAGGCAGCAGUGGGGAAUAUUGCACAAUGGGCGCAAGCCUGAUGCAGCCAUGCCGCGUGUGUGAAGAAGGCCUUCGGGUUGUAAAGCACUUUCAGUCGUGAGGAAGGUAGUGUAGUUAAUAGCUGCAUUAUUUGACGUUAGCGACAGAAGAAGCACCGGCUAACUCCGUGCCAGCAGCCGCGGUAAU
rnacentral:rRNA from 1 species